GACAGAGGUGCCGAGCGUUAGGCGGAGUCACUGGGCUUAAAGCGUGUGUAGGCGGGCGGGCAAGUACCUUGUGAAAUCCCACGGCUCAACCGUGGAACGGCUGGGUAUACUGCCUGUCUUGAGCCAACUAGGGGCGAGCGGAACAGACGGUGGAGCGGUGAAAUGCGUAGAUAUCGUCUGGAACGCCAAAGGUGAAAACAGCUCGCUGGGGUUGUGCUGACGCUGAGACACGAAAGCCAGGGGAGCGAACGGG
rnacentral:rRNA from 1 species